UACGUAGGGUGCAAGCGUUGUCCGGAAUUAUUGGGCGUAAAGAGCUCGUAGGCGGUUUGUUGCGUCGGCUGUGAAAAUCCCCGAGGCUCAACCUCGGGUCUGCAGUGGGUACGGGCAGACUAGAGUGCGGUAGGGGAGACUGGAAUUCCUGGUGUAGCGGUGAAAUGCGCAGAUAUCAGGAGGAACACCGGUGGCGAAGGCGGGUCUCUGGGCCUUACCUGACGCUGAGGCGCGAAAGCUAGGGGAGCAAACAGG
rnacentral:rRNA from 1 species